AUACGUAGGGAGCGAGCGUUGUCCGGAAUUACUGGGUGUAAAGGGUGCGUAGGCGGGACUGCAAGUCAGAUGUGAAAUGCCGGGGCUCAACCCCGGAGCUGCAUUUGAAACUGUGGUUCUUGAGUGAGGUAGAGGUAAGCGGAAUUCCUAGUGUAGCGGUGAAAUGCGUAGAUAUUAGGAGGAACAUCGGUGGCGAAGGCGGCUUACUGGGCCUUUACUGACGCUGAGGCACGAAAGCGUGGGGAGCAAACAGGAUUAGAUACCCUGGUAGUCCACACUGUAAACGAUGAUUGCUAGGUGUGGGGGGUCUGACCCCUUCCGUGCCGCAGUUAACGCAAUAAGCAAUCCACCUGGGGAGUACGGCCGCAAGGCUAAAACUCAAAGGAAUUGACGGGG
rnacentral:rRNA from 1 species